rnacentral:tRNA from 1 species
GGGCCGGUAGUCUCAGUUGGUAGAGCGCCUGCUUUGCAAGCAGGAGGUCAUGGGUUCGACCCCCAUCCGGUCCACCA